GAUGAACGCUAGCGGCAGGCUUAAUACAUGCAAGUCGAGGGGCAGCACGGGUAGCAAUACUUGGUGGCGACCGGCGCACGGGUGCGUAACACGUAUACAAUCUACCUUAAACAGGGGGAUAGCCUUUCGAAAGAGAGAUUAAUACCCCGUAACAAAUUGAGUGGCAUCACUUGAUUUUGAAAGUUCCGACGGUUUAAGAUGAGUAUGCGUCUGAUUAGCUAGUUGGUGGUGUAAUGGACCACCAAGGCGACGAUCAGUAGGGGAUCUGAGAGGACUACCCCCCACACUGGUACUGAGACACGGACCAGACUCCUACGGGAGGCAGCAGUAAGGAAUAUUGGACAAUGGUCGCAAGACUGAUCCAGCCAUGCCGCGUGCAGGAAGACGGCCCUAUGGGUUGUAAACUGCUUUUGUACCAGAGAAAACCUAUCUACGUGUAGAUAGCUGAUAGUAUGGUAAGAAUAAGCAUCGGCUAACUUCGUGCCAGCAGCCGCCGUAAAAC
rnacentral:rRNA from 1 species